rnacentral:misc_RNA from 1 species
UUUUUUUUUUUUUUUUUUGUAAACUGAACCAAAUUAAGAAUAAAACAGAACCAAACCAAACUGAAAAAAUUGGUUCUGUUUGGUUCGGUUGGAUCAAUUCCUGAGCACAUUCUCCUUUCCAUGAUUACAGAGUAAACUCCUAAAGAAUCCACAAUAGAAUUUCUCCAAAUCAUCAAAAAAACACAAAAUAGCCAAAUAGAAAGAAAAAUUAAGAGAUUAAAUCAAAUAUCAAUUAUGUUAAUUAACUCAAAAACUAAAUCAAACAUCAUCAACACAUCACAAAUAGCCAAAUAAAGAGAAAAAUUAAAAGAUUAAGUCAAAUAACAGCUAUGUUAAUUAACUAAAAAACUAAAUCAAACACAUUACACAAAAUACAUUAAUUUGCAAAUUGAUGCACUCAUUUCAUAUAGGCAUUUUAGGGUAGUUUUGCAUCCAUUUUGCCCUUAUAU